CAGGCUUAACACAUGCAAGUCGAGCGGGCGCAGCAAUGCGUCAGCGGCAGACGGGUGAGUAACGCGUGGGAACGUACCUUUUGGUUCGGAACAACACAGGGAAACUUGUGCUAAUACCGGAUAAGCCCUUACGGGGAAAGAUUUAUCGCCGAAAGAUCGGCCCGCGUCUGAUUAGCUAGUUGGUAGGGUAAUGGCCUACCAAGGCGACGAUCAGUAGCUGGUCUGAGAGGAUGAUCAGCCACAUUGGGACUGAGACACGGCCCAAACUCCUACGGGAGGCAGCAGUGGGGAAUAUUGGACAAUGGGCGCAAGCCUGAUCCAGCCAUGCCGCGUGAGUGAUGAAGGCCCUAGGGUUGUAAAGCUCUUUUGUGCGGGAAGAUAAUGACGGUACCGCAAGAAUAAGCCCCGGCUAACUUCGUGCCAGCAGCCGCGAUAAUACGAAGGGGGCUAGCGUUGCUCGGAAUCACUGGGCGUAAAGGGUGCGUAGGCGGGUCUUUAAGUCAGGGGUGAAAUCCUGGAGCUCAACUCCAGAACUGCCUUUGAUACUGAAGAUCUUGAGUUCGGGAGAGGUGAGUAGAACUGCGAGUGUAGAGGUGAAAUUCGUAGAUAUUCGCAAGAACACCAGUGGCGAAGGCGGCUCACUGGCCCGAUACUGACGCUGAGGCACGAAAGCGUGGGGAGCAAACAGGAUUGGAUACCCUGGUAGUCCACGCCGUAAACGAUGAACGCCAGCCGUUAGUGGGUUUACUCACUAGUGGCGCAGCUAACGCUUUAAGCAUUCCGCCUGGGGAGUACGGUCGCAAGAUUAAAACUCAAAGGAAUUGACGGGGGCCCGCACAAGCGGUGGAGCAUGUGGUUUAAUUCGACGCAACGCGCAGAACCUUACCAGCCCUUGACAUGUCCAGGACCGGUCGCAGAGAUGUGACCUUCUCUUCGGAGCAUGGA
rnacentral:rRNA from 1 species